rnacentral:rRNA from 1 species
GGAAUAUUGGACAAUGGAGGCAACUCUGAUCCAGCCAUCCCGCGUGCAGGAUGACGGCCCUAUGGGUUGUAAACUGCUUUUAUGAGGGAAGAACCGAACCCAUUUAUGGGUUUCUGACGGUACCUCAGGCAUAAGCACCGGCUAACUCCGUGCCAGCAGCCGCGGUAAUACGGAGGGUGCAAGCGUUAUCCGGAAUUACUGGGUUUAAAGGGUGCGUAGGCGGCUUAGUAAGUCAGGGGUGAAAGCCCACCGCUCAACGGUGGAAUUGCCUUUGAUACUGCUGAGCUUGAAUCAGGUUGAGGUUGGCGGAACGUGACAUGUAGCGGUGAAAUGCAUAGAUAUGUCAUAGAACACCGAUUGCGAAGGCAGCUGGCUAGACCUUGAUUGACGCUGAGGCACGAAAGCGUGGGGAGCGAAC